UACGUAUGGUGCAAGCGUUAUCCGGAUUUACUGGGUGUAAAGGGAGCGCAGGCGGCACGGCAAGCCUGAUGUGAAAGCCCGCGGCCCAACCGCGGGACUGCAUUGGGAACUACCGGGCUGGAGUGCCGGAGAGGUAGGCGGAAUUCCUAGUGUAGCGGUGAAAUCCGUAGAUAUCUGGAGGAACACCGGUGGCGAAGGCGGCCACCUGGACGACAACUGACGCUGAGGUGCGAAAGCGUGGGGAGCAAACAGG
rnacentral:rRNA from 1 species